AUGAAAAAUGAGGCAUCGAAAGAAGGGGACGAUGAAUUUAUUGCACAUCGACCUGGUGAAGAGGAUGUACAGAACAAAAACACGAAAGCUCUCACUCAAACUGGGUUCCCCAAAGCUGCACUGUUGUUAGUAGAUGCUCUCAAGAAGAACAGAGCAUGCCAGAAGUUUAUUAGAAGGAAGAUGAUUAACAUUGAAGCAAAGAUUGAAGUAAAUAAGGAUCUUAGGGAUCGCGUCAAAUGCCUUAUGGACUAUCAGUUAAGCUGCAGAAGAUCAUUUAGCAAUUUUUUAUGCCACAAGGUGGAUCCUCGUGUUCGAUUGAUUUCCUCUAAAAAACAAACCGCACAAUCCGCAAUGAAUAAAUGUAAGAUGUCUCCAUUACUUCUUGGCCCAGCUGAGAACCCUCAUAUUGAAAAGUACAAAGUAGUUCUGAAGCAAUUCCCAAUGUCGCUUCAGAAGCAUUCAUGGUCAGAUACAGAGAAAGACAGGCUUGCUAAAGGAAUAAAGCAGCAGUAUCAGGAAAUGUUAAUUAAGGACUCCAUGAAGAAUGGAAGUUCCAGUGGUGACUUCAGUGCUGUAGAUAUGGCUUAUGCACUGACGAACACUGGGGGUAAUUUUGAGGCGACUCCUGAGAUUCUCCGGUCAGUCUUGCCAUUAGUAAACUGGGACUAUAUCGCUGCUAUGUACCUGCCUGGUCGAUCCGGUGCUGAAUGCGAAUCAAGGUGGCUAAACUAUGACAAUCCACUGAUUAAUCACAACGCCUGGACUGCAUGUGAGGAGAAAAGACUUAUACUAACUGUCCAAGAAAAAGGAAUGCAUAACUAG
rnacentral:rRNA from 1 species